CCACCGAAACCCCUCCAAACCCCUCCCACCGGAAAAUCCCCCAAACUUUGGCUGGCCAAAACUAUGGACGGAGAUCGACGGUUGCUGGCGGUCGCCGCGCCCGCAUCGGCGGCGGCGGCGGUGCUUGGCAACGACGACCUCCUGCGCGAGAUCCUCCUCCGCCUCGGCUUCCCUACCUGCCUCGUCCAUGCCGCCCUCGUCUCCAAGCGGUGGCUCCACCACGCCUCCAACCCGGCCUUCCUCCGCCGCUUCUGCGAGCGCAACCCGCCCCGCGUCCUCGGCGUUUUCGCCUGCUACCCUGGAACACCGUACAAGUACCUGCCGCUUCCGCAGCCCCCGGAGCUCGCCGCCCUCCCACGUCGUGCGGCCUCCUCCUUCGACGGCGCCUUCACUGCCAACACAUACCAGCGCGUCGUGCACUGCCGGAACAGCCGCCUCAUCACCGUGUUCUUGCAUGAGGGAGCAUACUCGCUGGGGAGUCCGAAGCGGUCCUCCCACAGACCCCGCUGCCCCGCCAUCUCCCACAGGCUCACACUCAAGGGGUAUUAUCUCUGACUUUCCUGCCCAAGGACGGGGGCCACAACGGCAUCACCCUGGUGAGUCUGUGGAAGGUUUGGAGAGAAGUCCGUGCGGAAGUGUGCGUGCUGGGAUCUGGCGGUGGGGCGUCCCUACCACGGCUGUGACAGAGGUUGAUCUCCCGUAUGCCGAAACCAACUUUAUAGAAAUGCUACCACCCGUCCAUGGCAAGGUCUUCAUGGUGACCGGCUUGGGUUACACCCUGGGUCUAGGUUUGGCCACGUCAACCUUCUUCACCCUUGAGCUACCAGUUGGAGUGCGGAGCAACUAUAUGCUUUCAUGUGCGGAGGGUUCCGGGAUCUAUCUUGUCAGUGCAGACGGGUUUCAUCUCAGUGUGUGGCUUCAUGGAGUAAAUAGCAUAAAACUACUACUUUACAGGCUAGGGUUUCAAAAAACUACCGAUUUUUAAUUUUUCUCGGAUAACUACCAAAUGGGUGGUUGGCUGUUUCAAAAAACCCAAAACACCCAGUGCUUUACAAUUGAUCGUGAUUAUGACAAUUCGGACCCGCAUGUAAGAAAACUGAUUGUUUGACCGUCUGUUUGACUGUUAACUGACAUGUGGGGUCCACAUGUCAGCUCUCUUCCUCCUUCUCUUCACUCCUCCUGCCUCACUACUUCCCCAGGAGGUCGAUGGGGCGCCGACCGCAGCUCCUUCUACCAGCGCCGGCCGCCCCUCCUUCCACCUCGUCGGCGUCGGCCAGCCGCUCCUCCGCCUCCACCACUGCCCCCGGGGCACGGUCACU
rnacentral:rRNA from 1 species